rnacentral:lncRNA from 1 species
GCACGAAAGAAAUACAUAAGAUAGGGAAAGAACAUAAAUUCGUUUACAAUAAAAUUUUAUCUCCUCCUCGAGAUGGAGAGGUCUAGCCAUGCAUGGAAGGAGUGCUGUCUGUCAUCGCCAUCUUCAUCUUGCAUCCAGGAAGGAAGAUUUGUGGAGGAAGGUAGGAUGGAAGGUGUGGAAAGGCUUUAGAUAGUAAGGGAGAGGGAGAAUGGAUGGUAGAUGGUUGGUUUGUGGAGGUGGAAAAGAAAAGAAGAGAAGGUGACGUAUAUUGGGUUUAGGCAUGGAGUAUAGGAGAGGAAGAAGAGAUGGAAAAAUAGCAGCAAAAAUGAUUUUUAGAUGAAGGAUGGUGGAGGCUUGGAGACGGAUGAUGGUCAGGUUCUCG